UUCCGCGGUGACGCCUUAUUCUUAAGUUCUUAACAAAUUUCAAAUUUGACGGAGUGCUCCAGUCUUCCUACUAUAAAAAGCCACGCCACACUGUUGACGCGAUUCAUGCAUUCUUAUUACGCCAGCCGCCAGGUGGAAAAAAUGACACGUUUGGUAAUUAAUUUUGCCAUUCUGGACACUGAUGAUGUGCCACUUAUGGCGGGAAUUUCUGCCCUGGUGAGCAGACUGACAGUUACUCCUAAUUCUGGCUUCAGUAUUCCGGGAACGGAAAAUGUUUUUUCAGAUUAUAACGAGCUCGCUAGCUUGGACGAUUUUCACGCUGAUUACACCGAUCCGUAUAUGCUCCGUCAGAAACCCAGCAAGCACACGAUUUUGGUCUUAAUGCCGGCACUCACAAGUUGAUCAUCUAUCACUUUACCUUUCGUGGAAAACUCAGAGUUGACAAGUUGCGUGUGGAGUACUACCAACCUACUCUAGUUAUUUGCACUACCACUGCGGUGUUGAACUGUUUUUCUUGUUAAAAAAAGAUAACUGCGUGGAUAAUACUUAUAUAUGGUAGCUGCAGAGAUA